rnacentral:rRNA from 1 species
UACGGAGGGUGCGAGCGUUGUCCGGAAUCAUUGGGCGUAAAGGGCGCGUAGGUGGCCCAGUAAGCGUGCGGUGAAAGCUCGGGGCUCAACCCCGAGUCGGCCGUGCGAACUACUGGGCUGGAGCACUGUAGAGGCAGGCGGAAUUCCGGGGUGUAGCGGUGGAAUGCGUAGAGAUCCGGAAGAACACCGGUGGCGAAGGCGGCCUGCUGGGCAGUUGCUGACACUGAGGCGCGACAGCGUGGGGGAGCAAACAGG